rnacentral:rRNA from 1 species
GACGAACGCUGGCGGCGUGCUUAACACAUGCAAGUCGAACGGAAAGGCCCUGCUUUUGUGUGGUUCUCGAUUGGCGAACGGGUGAGUAACACGUGAGUAACCUGCCCUUGACUUUGUGAUAACUUCAGGAAACUGGGGCUAAUACCGGAUAGGAGCUCCUGCUGCAUGGUGGUGGUUGGAAAGUUUCGGCGUUUGGGGAUGGACUCGCGGCUUAUCAGCUUGUUUGUGGGGUAGUGGCUUACCAAGGCUUUGACGGGUAGCCGGCCUGAGAGGGUGACCGGCCACAUUGGGACUGCGAUACGGAGCAGAAUCGUAUGGGAGGCAGUAGUGGGGAACCUUGCAGAAUGGGCGGAAGCGUGAUGCAGCAACGCCGCGUGCGGGAUGACGGCCUUCGGGUUGUAAACAGCUUUCGACUGUGACGAAGAGUGAGUGACGGUAAUGGGUAAAGAAGCCCCGGCUAACUACGUG